ACCCGCUGAACUUAAGCAUAUCAAUAAGCGGAGGAAAAGAAAUUAACUAAGAUUCCCUUAGUAACUGCGAGUGAAACGGGAAAAGCUCAUCCUGAAUCCUACGGGUAACCGAUGGAAUUGUGGGGUAUGGAAUUUAGGGUUAUUAUGAUUAGAUAGUUUAAGUUAUCUGGAAUGGUAUGCCAUAGAGGGUGAUAGCCCCGUAAGGCUGUUUAGUUGUGAUAUAUAUCCUUAAUUUUCCGCGAGUCGCGUUACUUGAGAGUGUAGCGCUAAAUGGGAGGUAUAUGCCUUCUAAAGCUAAAUAUUACUGGAAAUCCGAUAGCAAACAAGUACCGUGAGGGAAAGAUGAAAAGAACUUUGAAGAGAGAGUUAAAAGUAUCUGAAAUUGAUGAUCGGGAAGCGUUAAAGAUUCGCAUUAAUUAAUAUCGUACAUUUAAGGGUAUCUUAAUGAAGUAGGGGGAAUUAAGGUCUAUUGAUCUGAAACCCUUUAUGUAAGAGAGGUAUCCUUAGGUCACUGUGGUAUUAGUUUAUCAGUUAGUUUGAAUGAGUAUUGUUAAAUAGUUGUGGAAGGUAGUCCUCUUUUGAGGGUGAAUACAUAACGAGGUCUUUAUAAAUUUAAAUUGAUUAA
rnacentral:rRNA from 1 species